UACGAAGGGGGCGAGCGUUGUUCGGAAUUACUGGGCGUAAAGGGCGCGUAGGCGGCGACUCUAGUCAGAUGUGAAAGUCCUGGGCUUAACCUGGGGACUGCAUUUGAUACUGGGUUGCUUGAAUUCGGGAGAGGAUAGCGGAAUUCCCAGUGUAGAGGUGAAAUUCGUAGAUAUUGGGAAGAACACCGGUGGCGAAGGCGGCUAUCUGGACCGACAUUGGCGCUGAGGCGCGAAAGCUAGGGGAGCAAACGGG
rnacentral:rRNA from 1 species